rnacentral:tRNA from 1 species
GGCAAAGUUGCCUGUUGGUAUGGACUCAUAAUCCGUUGGUGCCGAGUUCGACUCUCGGGGGGGCCACCA